rnacentral:lncRNA from 1 species
GUCCUUUGGCCACCUCAUGUGAAGAGUUGAUUCACUGGAAAAGACUCUGAUGCUGGGAAAGAUUGAAGGCGGGAGGAGAAGGGGACGACAGAUGAUGGGAUGGUUCGAUGGCAUCACCAACUCAAUGGACAUGAGUUUGAGUAAGCUCCAGGAGAUCGUGACAGACAGGGAGGCCGGGCGUGCUGCAGUCCAUGGGGCUGUGCGGAGUCAGAUGCGACUUCACAACUGAACAACGGCAAACCUCACAGAAUGUGUUGGGCGUAAGGGACUCAGAUGCCGGAAGGAAGCGCAGCCCGGAGUACGGGACGAAGGAAGGACUUAAAGGAACACAGGAGAAGCAAUACCCCGUCUGGGGAUGGGCCCACCCGAUUUCUCACCGGGGUGCUGACCGUGAUCCAGGGAAAUGCCCAGGAGACCCCGCCAGCAGAGCCCAAGGGCAUUGCUGUGACCGGCAGGAACUGGCCCCACACCCCUGUGGCCUCCUCGCCCAACCGGCUCCCCGGCUCAUCUUGGCGGCUCCAGACUCUGAGGGGCCUCGCAGACAGAGCUGGCCAUUCUUGGACACCCUCGUGCCAACUCCGAGGGCACGUCAGCUCCUCCGCUCUCUGGCUCGGGUGCGGUGCCAGCUGGGCCCAGCUUGCGGGGGGCACUGGCUCUUCCCCAGGCCCACACCACUGGCCUGCCGUCCACCCUGCCAAGGAGGCCACGGCUUCGAGCAGAGCAGAGGGCGGGGGCCGGGAUGGAAGGCCACCCCUGCCUUGACCUCUAGUGCGAAGGCCGCCCUGAACUCCGUCUUGUGAAAGGGAGUUCCUUUGACCCAUGUCUUCUGUGGACCGUUCAGGUGGCCUGCCAGUGCAGGAGAUGUAAGAGCCCUGGGUUCCAUCCCUGGGUCGGAAGAUCCCCUGGAGGAGGGCAUGGCAACCCCCUACAGUGUUUUUGCCUGGAGCAUCCCAGGGAUGGAGGAGCUACAGUCUGUGGGGUUGCAGAGUUAGACACGCCUGAAGCGGCUCGGCACGCAGGCAGCACGCGCCUCCUCUGGCCACGCGAAUCCCCAGGGCACU